CCUACGGGGGGCUGCAGUGAGGAAUAUUGGUCAAUGGGCUUACGCCUGAACCAGCCAAGUCGCGUGAGGGAAGACUGCCCUAUGGGUUGUAAACCUCUUUUGUCAGGGAGCAAUUGGCGCUACGUGUAGCGUUAUCGAGAGUACCUGCAGAAAAAGCAUCGGCUAACUCCGUGCCAGCAGCCGCGGUAAUACGGAGGAUGCGAGCGUUAUCCGGAUUUAUUGGGUUUAAGGGGUGCGUAGGCGGAAUGCCAAGUCAGCGGUAAAAUCGCGGGGCUCAACCUCGCUCCGCCGUUGAAACUGGCGGUCUUGAGUGGGCGAGAAGUAUGCGGAAUGCGUGGUGUAGCGGUGAAAUGCAUAGAUAUCACGCAGAACUCCGAUUGCGAAGGCAGCAUACCGGGGCCCAACUGACGCUGAAGCACGAAAGCGUGGGUAUCGAACAGGAUUAGAUACCCGGGUAGUC
rnacentral:rRNA from 1 species